AACGAACGCUGGCGGCAGGCCUAAAACAUGCAAGUCGAACGAACCUUCGGGUUAGUGGCGCACGGGUGAGUAACGCGUGGGAAUGUGCCUCUGGGUGCGGAACAACGUCGGGAAACUGACGCUAAUACCGGCAUAAUGUCUACGGACCAAAGAUUUAUCGCCCAGAGAUCAGCCCGCGUCUGAUUAGCUAGUUGGUGAGGUAACGGCUCACCAAGGCUACGAUCAGUAGCUGGUCUGAGAGGAUGAUCAGCCACACUGGAACUGAGACACGGUCCAGACUCCUACGGGAGGCAGCAGUUAGGAAUAUUGGACAAUGGGCGCAAGCCUGAUCCAGCCAUGCCGCGUGAGUGAUGAAGGCCUUAGGGUUGUAAAGCUCUUUUGGCGGGGAUGAUAAUGACCGUACCGCAGAAUAAGCCACGGCUAAAUUCGUG
rnacentral:rRNA from 1 species